rnacentral:rRNA from 1 species
GACGAACGCUGGCGGCGUGCCUAAUACAUGCAAGUCGAGCGAAUCUCAGGGAGCUUGCUCCCUGAGAUUAGCGGCGGACGGGUGAGUAACACGUGGGUAACCUGCCUGUAAGACUGGGAUAACUUCGGGAAACCGGAGCUAAUACCGGAUACUUUCUUUUCUCGCAUGAGGGAAGAUGGAAAGCUGGUUCUGCUAUCACUUACAGAUGGGCCCGCGUCUGAUCAGCGAGUUGGUGAGGUAGCGGGUCACCAAGGCGAGGAUCAGUAGCCGACCUGGGAGGGUGAUCGGCCACACUGGAACUUAGACACGGUCCAGACUCCUACGGGAGGCAGCAGUGGGGAAUAUUGCACAAUGGGCGCAAGCCUGAUGCAGCAACGCCGCGUGAGUGAUGAAGGCCUUCGGGUCGUAAAGCUCUGUUGUUAGGGAAGAACAAGUACCGGAGUAACUGCCGGUACCUUGACGGUACCUAACCAGAAAGCCACGGCUAACUACGUGCCAGCAGCCGCAGUAACAC